rnacentral:hammerhead_ribozyme from 1 species
AUCCAGAUGACGAGUCCCAAAUAGGACGAAACGCGCGCUGCAGAU